UACGGGGGGGGCAAGCGUUGUUCGGAAUUACUGGGCGUAAAGGGCGCGUAGGCGGCCAUCUAAGUCAGACGUGAAAUCCCUCGGCUCAACCGAGGAACUGCGUCUGAUACUGGAAGGCUUGAAUCCGGGAGAGGGAUGUGGAAUUCCAGGUGUAGCGGUGAAAUGCGUAGAUAUCAGGAGGAACACCCGUGGCGAAAGCGGCUCUCUGGGACGGUACUGACGCUGAGACGCGAAAGCGUGGGGAGCAAACAGG
rnacentral:rRNA from 1 species